CACACCAGAAAAAUUUAUUUCCUUUCUCGAUUUUGCAGGUCGAUGUUUUAUAUAAACUAUGGCGAG
rnacentral:tRNA from 1 species